GUUCUGAGAAAGCCUGAUUCAUUGCUGGCUGCCCUUGGAAGGGGCACCAGAAAGAUGCAAACCGAGGAGGGUGGCCAGAAGGAGGGGGCGGGAAGCUUUGGCUAACCUGGGGCCGCUAGCUUAGUUAGGCUCGAGCCACGCCUCCUCUGAGGACUCUUAUUUUGAAGGACCAUAGACACAAGCCUUUCAGAGAUUCACUGAGUCACACAGCGGUGCUGUGCAGCUCCGUAUAAAGCGCCGGUACCUGCUGGUGGCCACAGCCCGCUGAGCCGGCAGGACUGGGAGUAAAGGAGCCCCGGGGCCCCCGGCUCUGAGACCCGAGGCUUUUGGAGACACAGCCAUCCUGGGGAACACAUGAGGUCUUCGAGAAAAAUGGAGCCUAACUGAAUGCAGAGGCAAGCAGAGUAAAGAAUUCAGUCAAAUGAUGUCAUCCCAGAGAAGCAAGCCCAUGCCCGAAAAACUGGCAGCAGCUUACCCAUACCAGGCCACCUGAGACAUUUCCUGGGCUGGAAACAAUGUUACGGAAAUGGAACUUCCCUGCCAAAUUUACCACACCUUGCCCAAGCAUGGGUACCUCUCGUAUUGCCUCAAGAAUAAUCACAGCUUUACAGCACAUCUACCAAGAACUUCCGUGAAAGUGAAGAAGGAAUCAGUCAUGCUUGUAAUUUAGCAGACUAGAGGACAGUGUAGAUGUGCUUCCCCUGCCCAUUAAAAGUGAGGCUUUUAGAGGUACCUGGGUGGCUCAGUCGGUUGAGCAUCCAACUCUUGAUUUCAGCUCAGGUCACGAUCCCAGGGUCAUGGGAUUGAGCCCCACCCCGGGCUCUGUGCUGAGCAUGGAGCCUGCUUAAGGUUCUCUCUCUCCCUCUCUCUCCCUUUCCCUCUUCCUCCCCUUCUCCCUCUCCUUCAGCCCCUACCCCCCACUCUCUCUAAAACAUAAAUAAAAAUAAAUAAAAAUAAAAAUGAGGGUUUUACAGUGUGCAUUUACUGUGAACUAUUAUCCAUGAGAAAGUAAUGUAUCUGGCUGUGAGAAUCAAAUAGCUUUGUCUUUUGUUUGGUUUCAGACCACAAUUCCUCCAGAAAACAAUGACUACAUUACCAUUAAAAAUUAAUAAUCAUGACUGUGCCUGGAAGUAAAGGUUGCUUUUUUUUUUUUUAAUGUUUAUUUAUUUAUUUUGUGUCUGUGUGAGAGAGCCCAAGCAGGGGAGGGGCAGAGAGAGAGGGAGACAGAGAAUCCCAAGCAGUCUCCACACUGUCAGCACAGAGCCCAGUGUGGAGCUCCAGCUCACGAACCAUGAUAUCAUGACCUGAGGCGAAACCAAGAGUUGGGCGCUUAACCGACUGAGCCACCCAGGUGCCCAAGAUUGCUUUUGACUGGUCUUUCUCUCUACCCAAAUCCACAUGAAUAGCUUUAUUCAUUCAUUCAAUAAAUAUUUAAUGGUACUGUUAA